ensembl:lncRNA
CUCCCUCUCUCUUACUGUCAGUUUAGCUUGAUUCCCAUCAUAUACUAUCCGGAACGUCUCUCACUGUGGGAGGAUUAGUCCGUCUCUGGCUGCCUGCUUAUCUGUCUGCUUUGCCUCUCAGCUGCAGAGAGUAGAGGAGGUGGAGGAGGAGAAGAGGAGGUGUGUGUGUGUGUGUGUGUGUGUGUGUGUGUGUGUGUGUGUGUGUGUGUGUGUGUGUGUGUGUGUGUGUGUGUGUGUGUGUGUGUGUGGAGGAGAGGUUUUGGCAUCUCUCGCUCGGUUGUUGAGGCUAUAUCAGCUUCACUCAGCUCACUGCUAGUUUUAAUUUUUCUUUUUUUUCUUCUUUUUUUCGUCGGAGGACAAGCUUGUUGUGUUCACUCUUCAAACAGGUGUAGAUGUGUGUGUGUGUUUUUGUGUGUGUGUGUGUGCAGUGAGGUGCAUUUUCUUCCAUGGGUCGACCGACUGCAUCCAUUCUUGCACUGACUGUCCUGACUUGCUGUGUGUAAUAAUUGCUCCCCAGAGCAAGAAUCGACAACUUGGAUCAAUACCAAUAGUGAAGCAAAUAUAUCUGGCUAACGUUAGCAGCCGGUCUCUAAAGCCACAUACCUCAGUCACACUAACAAUGUCUUUAUCCUGGGGAGAUACAGAAGAAAAACGAUGUAUCAAAUUGUACAGUGAAAUCCGGCUGGCUCUGUGUUUUUCUGUUUAGGUCAGCACCUUGAAAAUGGAAGCUGGACCAGGCAUUUGAAGGAAUUAAACCCAUCAAGAUGAUGCCGCAUCCCCUCGUUUCGUGGGAGGGGAAGGUGAAUCCGUAAAAGGCUCUGCCUGUUCCCCAGCCGAUCGAUUGAUGUUGAAGUGUUUACCUCACAAAGGGCUGCAUAAACGGCUCGGCAGCUCGCGCUUUAUGCAGAACAUCGGGUGACUCUUUCGCAGGUCUCCAUUGAUGUUGCUUGUUUCACGCGAGAAGGAAGACGCUAAUCCCCUUGAUGUGCACCAAGCGGAGAGGAGGUGAUAUAUGUGGGGGCGAGAGGGGUGGACCUCCUGCCUGUCACCUAAACAUAAGACAACAAAGCUGUCUCUGCUUCGCCUCACAGCCAAGCUGCAUGAACCAGAAAAAAAAAGAAAAAGAAUGCCAAUAGAUCUCCUGUAAAACCUUUAGCACUGGAGCAGGAAAACAUAGAACAAAACCACAGAGGCUGUUGAACAUCCUUAUUGACAUAUGAAUUAUGGUACUGAAUCUAUGGUACUAUUUAUUUUCUAAACAAACAAGAGCCUCGCUAAGAGGAUUGGGAGCUUCUAGCAGGCUCUAUGCUACACAUUAUGUACAGUACGUUACACAUGUCAUUCAAAUUUGCUUUAAUGUGACAUCUGCUAGAAACCUGCUCCAAAAGUAGGUUGUAGCUUUUUUUUUUCACUACUACAAGGUGGAAGAGGUCUGUUAAACCCUGUUUUAACUGAACCCAGUGAGUAUUUUAGGAACUUAGAGUGCUUCUGCAUUUUCAAAAGAAAAAACACAAUACUUUCUUGUGGCAUAGUGUAAACUAUCAGAUAUAGGUGUUUUGCUUUGUUCACUAGUCAAACACUAAUCUUGAGGUUGAUAACACUGACGUAAACACAGUAAGCCAACACUGAUUAGCUUAACUCCUUUAAAGCCCCUUCCCACUUUUUAUGCCAUUUUAUUUUUGUUGAUAUGUUAACUGUCCAAAGAUUUAACUGCCAAACUGUAACUGCUUUAGUCCACGGUUAAUGGCUAGUAGCCUUACCAUCUGGCAAGCAGUGUUGCCAACUCCUCAGUAAGGAAAAUCGCUAAUGGUUGUCCUAAAAGUCGCUUGAAGUCGCUAAAUGAUGUCAUCGCCUAAUUUGCAUAAUUGGUCAUGCUAAUGUAAUUGUAACCUACGUUGUUGGAGAGAGAAACAACAUCGUGGAAGAGACAUAAAGUGAGUAAAAAUUGCAUUUGGAAUUCAUUUAGAACUAUAAAUUAAAUUUCUUUUAGCA